UCUCCGUUGGUGAACCNGCGGANGGAUCAUUACCGAGUUUUCAACUCCCAAACCCCAUGUGAACUUAUACCAUUUACAACCGUUGCUUCGGCGGGUUCUCGCCCCGGGCUUUACACCCCGGAACCAGGCGGCCCGCCGGGGGACCCAAACUCUAGAUUUUUAUUUUAGCAUGUCUGAGUGGAAUCAUUACAAAAUGAAUCAAAACUUUCAACAACGGAUCUCUUGGUUCUGGCAUCGAUGAAGAACGCAGCGAAAUGCGAUAAGUAAUGUGAAUUGCAGAAUUCAGUGAAUCAUCGAAUCUUUGAACGCACAUUGCGCCCGCCAGUAUUCUGGCGGGCAUGCCUGUUCGAGCGUCAUUUCAACCCUCAAGCCCCAGCGGUUUGGUGUUGGGGACCGGCGAGUACAGAGGCUUUGGGGACUUGUCCCCCUUCCCUCGGCGCCGCCCCCGAAAUGAAUUGGCGGUCUCGUCGCGGCCUCCUCUGCGUAGUAGCACAACCUCGCAUCAGGAGCGCGGCGCGGCCACUGCCGUAAAACGCCCAACUUUUUUUAAGAGUUGACCUCGAAUCAGGUAGGAAUACCCGCUGAACUUAAGCAUAUCAAUAAGCGGAGGAAAAGAAACCAACAGGGAUUGCCCCAGUAACGGCGAGUGAAGCGGCAACAGCUCAAAUUUGAAAUCUGGCCCCUAGGGCCCGAGUUGUAAUUUGCAGAGGAUGCUUUUGGCGAGGUGCCUUCCGAGUUCCCUGGAACGGGACGCCAUAGAGGGUGAGAGCCCCGUCUGGUUGGAUGCCGAGCCUCUGUAAAGCUCCUUCGACGAGUCGAGUAGUUUGGGAAUGCUGCUCUAAAUGGGAGGUAUAUGUCUUCUAAAGCUAAAUACCGGCCAGAGACCGAUAGCGCACAAGUAGAGUGAUCGAAAGAUGAAAAGCACUUUGAAAAGAGGGUUAAAUAGUACGUGAAAUUGUUGAAAGGGAAGCACUUAUGACCAGACUUGGACCCGGUGAAUCAUCCAGCGUUCUCGCUGGUGCACUUUGCCGGGCUCAGGCCAGCAUCAGUUUGCCUCGGGGGAUAAAGGCUUUGGGAAUGUGGCUCCCUCGGGAGUGUUAUAGCCCAUUGCACAAUACCCUGGGGCGGACUGAGGUUCGCGCAUCUGCAAGGAUGCUGGCGUAAUGGUCAUCAGUGAC
rnacentral:sRNA from 1 species